UGGUCAAAUCCAGUGAUUCAUCGAAAUUCCCAGACAACAGAAGUUAGUUCAUCUUCUACAACUAUUAGGUAUCUGGACUGGAACAGUGGCAUAGUAGUUUCUCCAGAGGAGAAUCAACUUCAGGAUAGAAUGUGUGGCCUGCAAGACAUUGGUGGCCAUAUCAUGAAAAUUCCAUUAAUUGCUUUUCAAGUCCUCCUUUGUAUGCAUUUAGAGGGAACACCUGCUGGUGCAAAAAAUAUCCCACUUCCAAUUCUUUUCUCUCCCCUUUUCAUACUUCAAGGUGCUGGUGUGCUAUUUGCUGCAUCCAAGUUGGUGGAGAAGCUUAUUCUUUUACUAAGAAGUGAAUCUAGCUCGGGAAUAUAUUUUAGAUUUUCUUCACGGGCUCAUGACUGCUUGGGGUUCUUGCACCAUGGUUCUAGGCUACUGGGUUGGUGGUCAAUUGAUGAGGGAAGUCGAGAGGA
rnacentral:misc_RNA from 1 species